UUUACCCUCUUGGUGACUUUGGCCCACUCAGGCAACUCCUGUGGUUGAAAUGUUCCACUCCCGUCUCCAGGCAGCCUGCAGUUACUUGGAAAAGUAAAUCCUCAACUUGGACUUACUGAAACAAUGAAACAAAUAUUUUGCCUAUCUUCUGUUAAGGCAAAAGCUGACUACAUCCCAUGAAAGAUAAGAGGAAUAGGUUUUUUCCAAGUUAUAAAUUUUGUGUUGUGUGGAGAGUGAAGAAAGAGGUUGAUUCACGCCACCCGAGGCGUGGGGGAGCACGUGGCAUGAAAGAACGUGUCAUGUGCUCGGAGGGAAAAGACCCGGAUAUGAAUCGACCCUGGUCUGUGACUUCCUAGCUGGGUAACCUUAGCAAAUUAUUUAAUCUUUCUGAAUUGUAGGUUCUUCAUUUCCAAAAGGACAAUAUUGUGAGGAGUGGAGAACAAUGAAGGUGGACGCACUCCUCAGGGUGCCGGGCCCAUGACAACUGGUAGGAAAUGUUCUCCGAAUCUCAGUUCUGUCCCUGGCCUUUGCCCUGAGUGAAGCAGGGGAAGCUCUCCCACCGCUGCACCUGAGCGAGUCCUCCUCCGCAAGAAUGAAGUUGAAAACUUAUUUCAGUUGGGAAUAGAAAAAACACAAACAAUGAAGCGCAAUAAAACAAAACAAAAACUCGGUUAAGAAAUGACCCUGAGGCAAAGUCUUAAAUCUUAAAGGUCAACAGGUGAUGUCUUGUUUGCCGAGUAGGAGCCCGGCCCCCAGUGUCUCUGAAGCUGCACUGCUGUUGACCAUGAUGGCUGUUGAAGAUGACCGUGGGCCUGAAGGAAAUUAUUCAGUUCUCCGAUUUCUCCACAUCUGAAGAGGGGGAUUGUAUCAUCAUUAAAAUACUGUUUGGAGACGACGGGAAAGAGCUGGGGCCACAGCGAGUGUUUAAACCAUCCGCUCCAGGACUAGCUCCAUGUGGCCUCCCUCAAUAUUACUUCAGAAAACUCGAGGUUUUCAGAAUCUGAAGAAAGCCCUGGCGAAUUUUGUGGUUGGCCUGCUCUGUUGUGGAGAUGCUGUGCUCAGGACCGAGAGGAGAAUCUGGGCGCUGAGCCUGGUGGGACCUUCUGACAUGAAGCCUUGACCGAACUGAGAAGAAUUGUGAGGCAGUCCACUGACCACACUGCUUCUUUGUCUCAGGCCCUCGGUAUUGGAGAUGGAACAUUUCCUCCUCUCAACUCACGGGGAGGAUGGCGAGGGAGCUCACAGCUGGGCUUUUGCACACACGCGCACCUCAUUUGUCUUCCUUUA